AUUGAACGCUGGCGGCAUGCUUUACACAUGCAAGUCGAACGGUAACAGGUUAAGCUGACGAGUGGCGAACGGGUGAGUAAUGCAUCGGAACGUGCCCGAUCGUGGGGGAUAACGCAGCGAAAGCCGCGCUAAUACCGCAUACGAUCUGAGGAUGAAAGCGGGGGACCGUAAGGCCUCGCGCGAUCGGAGCGGCCGAUGUCAGAUUAGGUAGUUGGUGGGGUAAAGGCCCACCAAGCCGACGAUCUGUAGCUGGUCUGAGAGGACGACCAGCCAGACUGGGACUGAGACACGGCCCAGACUCCUACGGGAGGCAGGAGUGGGGAAUUUUGGACAAUGGGCGAAAGCCUGAUUCAGCAAUGCCGCGUGCAGGAAGAAGGCCUUCGGGUUGUAAACUGCUUUUGUACGGAGCGAAAAGGUCCUUUCUAAUACAAGGGGCUCAUGACGGUACCGUAAGAAUAAGCACCGGCUAACUACGUGCCAGCCGCCGCCGUAA
rnacentral:rRNA from 1 species